rnacentral:rRNA from 1 species
UACGUAGGGUGCAAGCGUUAAUCGGAAUUACUGGGCGUAAAGCGCACGCAGGCGGUCUUUUAAGUUUGACGUGAAAGCUCUCGGCUUAACUGGGAGAGGUCGUUGAAUACUGGGAGACUUGAGGAAAUGAGAGGGGUGUAGAAUUCCCGGUGUAGUGGUGGAAUGCGUAGAUAUCGGGGGGAAUACCAGUGGCGAAAGCGGCACCCUAGCAUUUUUCUGACGCUCAUGUGCGAAAGCGUGGGGAGCGAACGGG